UACGAAGGGGGCGAGCGUUGUUCGGAAUUACUGGGCGUAAAGGGCGCGUAGGCGGCCCCUUUUGUCGCGUGUGAAGGCCCCGGGCUCAACCUGGGAGGUGCGCGCGAAACGGGGGGGCUUGAGUUCGGGAGAGGAGAGUGGAAUUCCCAGUGUAGAGGUGAAAUUCGUAGAUAUUGGGAAGAACACCAGUGGCGAAGGCGGCUCACUGGCUCGUAACUGACGCUCAGGCGCGACAGCGUGGGGAUCAAACAGG
rnacentral:rRNA from 1 species